UACGUAGGGGGCAAGCGUUGUCCGGAAUUAUUGGGCGUAAAGAGCUCGUAGGCGGUCUGUCGCGUCGGCUGUGAAAUCCCGAGGCUCAACCUCGGGUCUGCAGUCGAUACGGGCAAACUAGAGUAUUGCAGGGGAGACUGGAAUUCCUGGUGUAGCGGUGAAAUGCGCAGAUAUCAGGAGGAACACCGGUGGCGAAGGCGGGUCUCUGGGCAAUAACUGACGCUGAGGAGCGAAAGCGUGGGGAGCGAACAGG
rnacentral:rRNA from 1 species